UACGUAGGGGGCAAGCGUUGUCCGGAAUCAUUGGCGUAAAGAGCGUGUAGGCGGCCAGAAAAGUCCGCUGUGAAAACUCGAGGCUCAACUUCGAGCUGUCGGUGGAAACUUUCUGGCUAGAGUCCGGAAGAGGAGAAUGGAAUUCCUGGUGUAGCGGUGAAAUGCGCAGAUAUCAGGAAGAACACCCGUGGCGAAGGCGGCCCCCUGGGCCGUACCGUGACGCUGAGG
rnacentral:rRNA from 1 species